rnacentral:sRNA from 1 species
GUGGAGCAGGGUGACCUGUGCCUAUAGUCCCUGAUACUUGGGAGACUGAGGCAGGAGGAUUGCUUGAAUUGAGGAGUCCUGGACCAGCCUGGGCAAUAUAGUGUGACCCCUGUCUCAA